rnacentral:rRNA from 1 species
GACGAACGCUGGCGGCGUGCUUAACACAUGCAAGUCGAACGGAAAGGCCCUGCUUUUGUGGGGUGCUCGAGUGGCGAACGGGUGAGUAACACGUGAGUAACCUGCCCUUGACUUUGGGAUAACUUCAGGAAACUGGGGCUCAUACCGGAUAGGAGCUCCUGCUGCAUGGUGGGGGUUGGAAAGAUUCGGCGGUUGGGGAUGGACUCGCGGCUUAUCAGCUUGUUGGUGGGGUAGUGGCUUACCAAGGCUUUGACGGGUAGCCGGCCUGAGAGGGUGACCGGCCACAUUAGGACUGAGAUACGGCCCAGACGCCUACGGGAGGCAGCAGUGGGGAAUAUUGCACAAUGGGCGGAAGCCUGAGGCAGCAACGCCGCGUGCGGAAUGACGGCCUUCGGGUUAUAAACCGCUUUCGCCUGUGACGAAGCGUGAGUGACGGUAAUGAGUAAAGAAGCACCGGCUAACUACGUG